UACGUAGGGUGCAAGCGUUAAUCGGAAUUACUGGGCGUAAAGCGUGCGCAGGCGGUUAUGCAAGACAGAGGUGAAAUCCCCGGGCUCAACCUGGGAACUGCCUUUGUGACUGCAUGGCUAGAGUACGGUAGAGGGGGAUGGAAUUCCGCGUGUAGCAGUGAAAUGCGUAGAUAUGCGGAGGAACACCGAUGGCGAAGGCAAUCCCCUGGACCUGUACUGACGCUCAUGCACGAAAGUGUGGGGAUCAAACAGG
rnacentral:rRNA from 1 species